rfam:Schistosoma curassoni strain Dakar, Senegal genome assembly, scaffold: SCTD_scaffold0008918
AUCUAGCUAAUGAGUCCAAAAUAGGACGAAACGCACGUCCUGGAU